rnacentral:rRNA from 1 species
AUUAUGCAAGUCGAGCGGAAACGAGUUAUCUGAACCUUCGGGGAACGAUAACGGCGUCGAGCGGCGGACGGGUGAGUAAUGCCUAGGAAAUUGCCCUGAUGUGGGGGAUAACCAUUGGAAACGAUGGCUAAUACCGCAUGAUGCCUACGGGCCAAAGAGGGGGACCUUCGGGCCUCUCGCGUCAGGAUAUGCCUAGGUGGGAUUAGCUAGUUGGUGAGGUAAGGGCUCACCAAGGCGACGAUCCCUAGCUGGUCUGAGAGGAUGAUCAGCCACACUGGAACUGAGACACGGUCCAGACUCCUACGGGAGGCAGCGGUGGGGAAUAUUGCACAAUGGGCGCAAGCCUGAUGCAGCCAUGCCGCGUGUAUGAAGAAGGCCUUCGGGUUGUAAAGUACUUUCAGUCGUGAGGAAGGCGUUGUCGUUAAUAGCGGCAUCGUUUGACGUUAGCGACAGAAGAAGCACCGGCUAACUCCGUGCCAGCAGCCGCGGUAAUACGGAGGGUGCGAGCGUUAAUCGGAAUUACUGGGCGUAAAGCGCAUGCAGGUGGUUUGUUAAGUCAGAUGUGAAAGCCCGGGGCUCAACCUCGGAAUAGCAUUUGAAACUGGCAGACUAGAGUACUGUAGAGGGGGGUAGAAUUUCAGGUGUAGCGGUGAAAUGCGUAGAGAUCUGAAGGAAUACCAGUGGCGAAGGCGGCCCCCUGGACAGAUACUGACACUCAGAUGCGAAAG